rnacentral:rRNA from 1 species
GGCGGCGUGCUUAACACAUGCAAGUCGAACGAGACGAUUUUAAGCUUGCUUAGAUGAGUCGAGUGGCAAACGGGUGAGUAACGCGUAGACAACCUGCCGCAAAGAUGGGGACAACAGUCCGAAAGGACUGCUAAUACCGAAUGUUGUCAGUUUCUCGCAUGGGAGACUGAUUAAAGAUGGCCUCUACUUGUAAGCUAUCGCUUUGCGAUGGGUCUGCGUCUGAUUAGCUAGUUGGUGGGGUAACGGCCUACCAAGGCGACGAUCAGUAGCCGGUCUGAGAGGAUGAACGGCCACAUUGGAACUGAGACACGGUCCAGACUCCUACGGGAGGCAGCAGUGGGGAAUCUUCCGCAAUGGGCGAAAGCCUGACGGAGCAACGCCGCGUGAGUGAAGAAGGGUUUCGGCUCGUAAAGCUCUGUUGACGGGGACGAAUGUGCGAAAUGCGAAUAGUUUUCGCAAUGACGGUACCCGUCGAGGAAGCCACGGCUAACUACGUGCC